GGCUCGGUGGUGGAUGGUCCACGCCUGCUCCAUAUAUUGUGGCUGGAACAUCUGUACAGCAGGAGGAGCCUGUUCGAAUCAGGCCCGAGCCA